rnacentral:rRNA from 1 species
UACGGAGGGGGCAAGCGUUGUUCGGAUUUACUGGGCGUAAAGGGUCCGUAGGUGGUUGUGUAAGUCUGGUGUGAAAUCUUCGCCGCUUAACGGGAAGAAGCCACUGGAAACUGCGCAACUUGAGUAUGGUAGAGGCAAGCGGAAUUCCUGGUGUAGCGGUGGAAUGUGUAGAUAUCAGGAAGAACAUCUGUGGCGAAAGGCGGCUUGCUGGGCCAUCACUGACACUGAGGGACGAAAGCGUGGGGAGCAAACGGG